UCAGCAUAGUACCCGGCACACCGUGGACGCACGGAAAGUAUUUUCUGAAUGAGUCGGGCCGGUUCUUGAAAAGAUCGCUAUAGGCUGGGGGGAAAGAGGCCAAAUACAGCUGGUUCCUCUGCAAGGAAAGCUCUCAAAAACCUCCCUGUCCAAACUCUCCUGUCUCCCCUCUUUCCUGAUGAGUGCCUACGAAACCCAGCUGUCACUGUUGUCAGAGGGACCUGACAGAGGGACCCGGGCAGCGACCUGGUGUAUCACCUCCUUCCUGGGUCAGCGCUCGCCUGAGCUCAGAGCCUAAGAGCCGGGCUCUGCAUUACAGCCCUGGGUUCCUUCAAAUCCUGCCUAUACUACUCACCAGCUGAGUGACUAAAGACUGGGGAUAUGACCUUUCUGACCCCUUCGCUUCCUCAUCUAUAAAGUGGUGACAAUAAUAUCUCCCGUAACAUUAGCUAAGGCAUGUGGCAUGUUAUAAAUCAAGUGCUUAGCACAAGUCCUGACACAUACUAAAUGCUCAAUAAAUAAUAGCUAUUAUUGCGGUAGCCCAAGUUUCCCUAGGUUUUUUUUUUUUUAGCUGUCAGAUCCCAGGAACCACACCUGCGGUCAAUAAAACCUCUUAAAUAUUCUUACAAAAUACACAGCCAGGCAAGCUCUUCCCUGUUGCCACCUUGUGCACUUAGUCAUUUCUAACCUAAACAUAAAACCUGACAUGGGCCUUUGAUAACCUGUAUCUAUUUUAUUUCCAUCAGGCGCUGCAGGCUGUUGAGAAGGUUUUACCUCUUGACGCUCCCUGGAGAUGAGGCCAUCCAGGCAUCUCGACCCCCAGCCAGGCCACAUCCACAUCCAUCACACCUCUGCUGGCUUCUCCGUGGCGGAAUCUUUUUUUUUUUUU